GCCGAUGUGGUGAAAUUGGUAGACACGCUACCUUGAGGGGGUAGUGGGCUUUGCUCGUGCUGGUUCGACUCCAGUCAUCGGCACCA
rnacentral:tRNA from 1 species